UCCAUGAGCAAACAGCGUGGACCAAAACAGUCCCCAGGAGAGGCUGGUGCAGGAAGGCUCAGACACUGUGUUCUCUGACAUAAUUUAUAGACGGGGUCUCACCUUGUUGCCUAGGCUGGUCUCGAACUUCUGACCUCAAGUGAUCCACCCACCCCCGCCUCUCCAAGUGUGGAAUUACAGAGGCCCAUGGCAUAUGUGGGGAACUGAGAGGUCUUUGGUCAACAGUCACUGGGGACCUGGGUCCCGCCAACAACCACAUGAUUCAUUUUGGAAGCAGAUCCUCCCCUACAUGAGCCUUCAGAUGAUCACAGCCACAUAUGACAGCUUGAUGGCAACCUCAUGAGAGAGACAGAACUGAAACCACCCUGAUUCCUGACCCACAGAAAUUGGCUUCUAUGAGGCUGUCUUGUAGGAUGCCCAUGACGAUCCUCCAGACACUAAGAUGAGAAAACUAAGGCCCAAAGGGACACCUGGCUUUCCUAAGACCUGUAAGUGGAAGAGUCAGCAUUUGAAUGGAGAACUCGCAGCUUUCGGAGUCUAGACUUGUUUUACCUCACCAGACUGCUUCUACUCCUAGUGAUUCCUUCCCUUAGAUUAAGCCUUGCUCUCUUCCCGUGCAAUCAUGAAGAGGAUUAUAUUAGUAAAUCCCUGAACAUUCCCUGAUUGGGGAGUGAGGGUCAAACCAAGGCAAAUGGCAGGAUUGACACUCACAUCAAGGGCUGGCUCAUUAAGGGCUCGGGACCUGGCGAUCGAGUUGCAUUGCAGAUUUUGGAAGUAUGCAAGACCACGCCAGCCACCUUUCCAGGGAGAGACCAUGCAAAGAAGGCAGGUGAUCCAAGGGCUGGGAGUGGUGAGGACUGCUCCAGCCCCUGAGCAGCUGUCAUCCCAGCACAAAGUGUCAGAAGAGACCUCAAAGUGUGGUCUGCAGACGAGGCAGCAUCUGCAUCACCUGGGAGCUUGUUAGAAAUGCAGAAUCUUCUGAGAGAACCAGACCUGCUGCAUCAAAAUCUGCAUUUUAACAAGAUUGUAACUUAGAUACACAGUAACACUUAAAAAGGAUGGGGCAGAGAGGCUAAGUCAGCAGCUUCUCAUCACACUCCAAUCUGAUGCUGCUAGUGCUCCAAAAAGCUCUCAUAUCCUCACUGACUAGCCUAGGGCUGUGUCUAUCAAUGCAUUAUAUGACACAGAUGAAGACUAUUGUGUACCUUCCUCAAUUUUUACCCCAUUGUUUCAGCCUUUUGUACAUCUUUAAUGCAAACAUCCAUGCGAGAAUUCUUGUGACAUUAAUUUUUUGGAACAACCUGUUUUGCAGAGCAAAUUUCAUUAAGCCA
ensembl:lncRNA LINC02177 long intergenic non-protein coding RNA 2177